rnacentral:rRNA from 1 species
GACGAACGCUGGCGGCGUGCUUAACACAUGCAAGUCGAACAGAAAGGCCCUGCUUUUGUGGGGUGCUCGAGUGGCGAACGGGUGAGUAACACGUGAGUAACCUGCCCUUGACUUUGGGAUAACUUCAGGAAACUGGGGCUAAUACCGGAUAGGAGCUCCUGCUGCAUGGUGGGGGUUGGAAAGUUUCGGCGGUUGGGGAUGGACUCGCGGCUUAUCAGCUUGUUGGUGGGGUAGUGGCUUACCAAGGCUUUGACGGGUAGCCGGCCUGAGAGGGUGACCGGCCACAUUGGGACUGAGAUACGGCCCAGACUCCUACGGGAGGCAGCAGUGGGGAAUAUUGCACAAUGGGCGGAAGCCUGAUGCAGCAACGCCGCGUGCGGGAUGACGGCCUUCGGGUUGUAAACCGCUUUCGCCUGUGACGAAGCGUGAGUGACGGUAAUGGGUAAAGAGGCACCGGCUAACUACGUG